rnacentral:rRNA from 1 species
UAGGGAAUCUUCCACAAUGGACGCAAGUCUGAUGGAGCAACGCCGCGUGAGUGAAGAAGGGUUUCGGCUCGUAAAGCUCUGUUGUUAAAGAAGAACGUGGGUAAGAGUAACUGUUUACCCAGUGACGGUAUUUAACCAGAAAGCCACGGCUAACUACGGGCCAG